UUUCCGUAGGUGAACCUGCGGAGGGAUCAUUACAAAUCCACACGUCUCACACCCGAGACCACGUUGAACUGUUGUUUGGGACGACGAUGAUGACGCUCCGUCGUCGUCGCCGUCGUCUCGGACGCCCUUUGUUCCUCCUCUUCUAGUAGUGAUGUUGCACAUAAGUAUAUACAUAUUCCUCUUGUGAAUAACAACGAGAAACAACUUAUAACAAUGGAUCUCUAGGCUCUU
rnacentral:misc_RNA from 1 species